AUUCUUAGAUGACGGCGUAUGAUAACUCGAACUCCCAAGCCUUGAGUGUGUAACGGACCAAACAUAAUAUUUCACCCGGCUGAAACGCGUUAUUACAAGUUACAAGUUACAAGUUCCGCACACAAGUGCGGGUGUGUCCGUAAAAGCCGGGGGGGCCAUGGACGUUGUAUUGGUAUUGAUGCGGGUACGCGGGAGGUCAUCUUCAUUCUCCCUCGUCCGCUUCAGGGUGAAGCGCCUCAGCGCGACGUGCCUGGCCUCCCAGAUUUCCGAGAGGUACCUGGCCAAUGCCAGGGGUGGCGCCUCAGUCAUAGUGGUGCGCAUGCUGCGCCCCGUAAGGACUAGGUCACCAUCAUACUUAGUCCGUAUGCUCUUGUAAGCGGGACAUUCUUCGAAAACAUGCAACUCAUCUUCAACCGGUACCGCUCCACAGUCACAAAGCCUGCAGGUACGCACGGUGCGUUCACACCCAUUAGGCCUAUUAACCUCUAACUCUCAACAGCCUAACCGAAAACGCAUGAGCACAUGAUGAAGUCGCUGGGGCAUGGUCCCUUUAGUGUGCUCCAACCAAUCAAGACGCGCACCCCUUGACGGGGCAGCUCCCAUCCAGUUCAUAUAGCGACACGCCUUGGCUCCGGUAAUUCCAUAGUAUGGGGAAGACGCAGGGGUCACCCAAGGUAUUCGGGCAUUCCCACCGAGCAUCAAGCCGCUUGGCAAAAACCUUAAGAAUGCUCUCGACUGGCAAUUUAAGGGUGGUGUAGUACGAUAUAAGAUCAUUACCGCGCGUAUUAGUGGGGGGUUCCACUCCUAAGCUAGUAAGAAACGCUAGUACCUUGCUUGCCCAACACUCAGUGGCGCCCCCAAUUGCCAACUCCAGGUCAGCGACAAAUGCCCGGUGACACAACGUUCCCGGCCUCUUAACCACAGAGUUCCAAAACCUAAGUACAAGAUUGGUCCAAUGGAACUGGAGUGGCCUCUGUGACAGCUCGCGAUAUAGGGAAACCAUAGUCGGGCUCCUCGCCCCAACUAUGGUUCGCAUGUAAGCACGUUGUUCCUGGACCAUGGGAUUAGCCAUAGCACCUUCAAAAUUCACAUUAAUGAAGUCAGGUCCCCAAACUUGCGCUCCAUAAGAAAACACCGGUACAACUAGUGUAUUGUAGAGAGACAUACAUAGCUUGGGGGUGGUAAUUUUCUUAUCACGACACAGGGUGCUGAGCCCAAAUGUGGCCCGCCUCCCUGCUGUGAGUAGUUGCUUGGUACAUGCUGAGAACUGCACUCCUGGGCCAUAGUGCAACCCGAGAUACCGUGCCGUCUCGUUGCCGGUCAGCACCCGCAACCCCGCCCCACCUAACCGGUACUCAGCUUCAACAAGCCGCAAAAUGAGGACCUCGCACUUGGCGGCAUUCGCGGCCAUACCCGUCGCUUUGCAGUAGGCUUCGAGUAGCCCCAGAAGGCAUUCAGCUCUAUCGUGCCCUGUCGCUACCAGUGACACAUCGUCAACGAAAAGUAGGUUAGUGAGAUCACCGCCCGCCAGGCUAACACUCUGCUCACGAAGGGUGCUCCAUCGGCUGGGGAGGCAUACACGGCAAUUAGCAUCAUGGGCAUCAAUAUAAUGAGCGAAUACUUCUAUGAAGAGUCCAAAAAGGGUUACGCUAAGGGGACACCCUUGCUUAACACCACGCCCCACCUUGAUUUCAGGUCCCAACUUAUUUCCUAACUUGACCCGAAACUUCACGUCAGCAUAGCUAGCCUUUAAAGAAUCGAGGAUGCGCCCGUGUAGCCCAUACGACAUUAGGAAAUCCCAAAGUGUCUCAUGGUCAACGGAGUCGAACGCCUUACUAAAGUCAAUUUGCAUGAUAAUAAGCGGCCUGGCUCCGGCCACAGUGUGCUUCGAGAUAAGAUGCCUUAAUGUAAACAAGUGAUGCUCGGUGCCAAAACCAUGCCUACAUCCAGCCUGGCUAACGGCACGUAGCCUAUUGCCCUCACAGUAAUUAUUUAAUCGCCUCCCUAUGACAUUGGCAUAAAGUUUGCUCAGGGGACCCCCAACAGCGAUUCCCCGGUAAUUGUCACAGCAAGACACGUCCCCUUUUUUGAAUACGGGGGACAGGGUGCUAGUCAUGAAUUCCCUCGGGUAUUCAGCUCCGUAUAUGCGGUUGAAUAGCACCGUUAAGUAAGGCGCCAACACAAGCACGGGUUGCUGCCCUUCAGUUUCCCUGAUAGCAUACUUAUAAUACUCGGCCGGGGUUCCCUCCAGGCCCGCGGACUUAUUGUUGCGCAUAGCCUUAAGGCCACUAGCAAUUUCAUCCUCCGUAAAAUCCUUGUUAAGCCAAGCAGCUAAUUCCCGUCUGUGCGUCACCUGGUCCUCGUCCAGCCAUCUAAACUAAAUACCCUCAUUGCGGCAUUGCCUCGUCUCUCCUGUACCAUUAAGCACCUUGGAAAAAUCCUCGGUAAAAGCAUUAAUAUCUGAGAUCCCGCAAGGAGGUGGUUUUCCCCCACGCAGCCAUGUCCACAAUCCGCGUGGGUUGAACCGGGCGUCCUUAAUCCUCCUCCACAUAUCUUCCAUUUCAAACUCCUGAAUAGCGGCCUUCCUAGCCUUCUUAAAGGCACAGUGCUUGGCCUUCCAGGUAGUCCUAUGUAGAUCGGGCAGCUUGCCUGAGACGGGGUCCCUGACCUCCUUACGGAAACUCAUCAUAUCAUUCCACGCAGCUGCACAGUCCUCGUUCCACCAGUCACGCUUCACAGACUUUUCCAUCCCCCGUGCACCGCCGAACGUCUCUCUAGCACACUUAUUGAUAAGGGUGCGCAGGUCAUUCAUGCUUUCGUCACAGGGUGCCCGUUCUACAAGCUUUUCCUUGAGAGAGUUGAUGGUCUCUGUAAUAAUGCCAUCUGGUUCACGAAAAAGCUCGGUGAAGCGGCCCUUGCAUGAAAUAUCAAAAAUAAGGAUCCGUUCACGUGCUAGGUGAGGCUUCCGACCCUGUGCAGCCCCUGGCCUCAAAACAGCAUGCAGGCGAAGGAUAAGCGGGUGAUGAUCACUCAGCACAUUAGACUCUCCCCAUAAGUAAGAUCUAAGGACUUUGAGAGUGUUAAUCUGCUCGAAGAGCCCGUAAGAUGCAAGGCACAGAUCAAUAGAACUGUGACCCUCAGUAGAGUUGGAGUAAGUGAAGCCCCCGGGCACAUCACCAGGUGCCCGCCCAUUGACAAUGGCUAGGCCUGUGUCAAGACACAUUUGUGCCAAUCGGCGGCCAAAACAAUUCAGCCCACUAUCUCUAUUUUUAGGGGGAACACCGACGAGGGAGUGUGCCCCUAUUCCAUUUACUCCGGGCAAGUCUAUUAUUGGUAACAUACUGAAUUCUCUAUUGCAAUGUAUCUCGCCUGUAGCCAACAAAGAUCGUAUGAGCGCAAACAACUUUGGCUGCCUCAAUUGACCGAGCUCAUAGUCACAUCAACGCCUCUCGGGCUAAAUUUCAUCUCAAAAGGUGCCGUGUAUCUCAUGAUUGAAUUCUGAGAUGAGAGCGUAUGAUAACUUGAGCACCCAGCUUGUGUUACCAUUUGCCCGCACGGGCAUUCCGACUUGCCACCAGCAGGCCGACAAAUUUGAUUUCAUUUCUCUAUGAAAUACGCAAGCUGCUCGUUUGUACAUUUACUUUAGCCAAUGCUCGGGGCCUCCGGCGACUUGCGGUGUGCCGUGAUGAAGCUCGCGCUUCGGGGAUAAACGUCACAGACAGCACCCCCGAACUUCACCCAGCUUGCAUUACCAUUUGCUCGCACGGGCAUUCCGACUUGCGAUCUGCCGUACAUGCGGCCUGCACCCGGGAUGGAUGCGAAUCGCACCCAUAUGGAGCCCGCAUGCGGUGCUGACGAUUCCAACGGUGCAAGCUUAGCUCCCACACCAUCAGCACUACUGCAACAAGCACAUCUCCCACCGCGUUGACACUACCCAUCAAUUGUCACACGUGCCGCACUAGCUACCGGCCUGUACGGAUGCAGGGGGGGCCCGCCCUUUUUCCGGUUUCGAGGAAGCCGCCACCCGACUUGUUUACCGUGCCCUAACAAACCGCGUCCCAGCGGAGCCGCCCUGUAGCGCUGCAAACCAACGGGAAAAACCUUACAGACCCCACUUCGUUUCCUUGCUCCAGGGCAUGUUGAUCCGAAUCGAACUGAUUCGUCACGUAUCCGUCAUACCAUAGAAAUGCACCCGUUAA
rnacentral:lncRNA from 1 species